rnacentral:tRNA from 1 species
GGGCCCGUGGUCUAGAUGGUUAUGGGGGGAAAGUAAAGAGCUUUCCUCUAACAAACGUCACCCUGACACGGUGAAGAUCCCGAGUUCGAAUCUCGGCGGGCCCACCA